UCCGUUGGCUUUCCCUCUGCUGCUCUCAUUCCAGUGGCGAAGGAGCUGCUCAGAAACCUGAUGUGUAUGUGCAGCGUUAGAUUUUUUAUUUCGGUUUCUCCUCUGAUCCGUCUCACAAAAUGUCGUCCGUAUACAGAGCUCGAUUGACAACUUUCGAAGAUUCAGAGAAGGAGAGCGAGUACGGUUACGUUCGAAAGAGGAAUGGAAUACAAGCAUGAGAUUGGCGAAGAAGAAGCCAGAACUAUACUUGAAGUUAUUGCUUCAACUGGGAAAUUUUGCUCUUCUCAGCUUUAUAGAAGGUCCUCCUUUUACCCUGCAGAGGCUUUGUGAGGUGAUCAUACUUGUCCAUUAUGAGUGUCAUGUUUCAUUUUGUUGUACCCUGCCUAAUAACUUCAACAAUCUCCUAAUUGGUUACUACUGUGCACUGAAUUCUGGUGAUGGUUCAAACCUUAUUUGAGGUUUUGAAUCAGUGGAAUCCCAAAUUUUAUUUGUUUGUUAGUUUUGGAGAUUGCCUUGUGGAGGG